UUGAGCCUUCCCGACAAGACAGCUGACUAUCAUAUAAGCACUCAUAUUAUCAUCAUCACUAUCCCCAUCCAACUACACAUUUUUGUUCUAGCCAUGGGAAAGUUCUGAUAGUUUCCCCUUGUCGGUGUGAUAUUCUAUCUCUCUUUUACCAAUAGCAAUUUCUUAUAACUGAAAGAUAUAUCUACUAUGCUCAAAACUACUCAUUUUCGUCAUCAAAAGGAAAUCAGCACAAACUCCUCAAUAACUCCUCAUUUUCGUUAAAAAGUAAUCAGACUGAGGAGUUUCGUUAAAUUGGUUCAUUUGGAAAUUAUAAAAUUUAUAUUGGUGUUUUCAUUGAGAUUCAAACCAACGAAUUUUCAAUAUUUUUUUGUUUCCAUUAAAAAACUUUUACACACCAAUUCGGUGUUUCAUCCACGGAGAUUCGAACUCACGAAUUUUCAAAUUUUAGCCAAGCAUCAACUCAUUCGGCUAUGGCGACUAUACAACAAAUGUAGCUAAAUUUCACACUAAUACUUUUUUCAGAGCACCAAAUUAUUUCGUUAAAAUUAAUCCACAGUGAUGACAAUAACUCCUCAUUUUCGUUAAAAAGUAAUCAGACUGGGAGUUUCGUUAAAAUAUUUUAUUUAGAAAUUAUAAAAUUUAUAUUUUACGGAGAUCCGAACUCACGAAUUUUCAACUUUUAGCCAAGCAUCUACUCAUUCGGCUAUGACGACCUUACAGCCAAGUUUCACACUAGAACUUUUUUCAGAGCAGCCACAUUAUAAGCAUAUAAAUGAGUUGUUUUGGCGUUUAACACGUUACCGCCGGCGCUGUUAUUCAUGGUCUUCGCCCACAGACGGCAACGUUUACAUCUUUUCGCUCUAUCGGAAGCGAUUGCAGGUUAUAUAAAACGAAAUUUUUUCAUAAGGGUAGUCGUUUAUGGCUUCUCAUCUCAUAGGUACCGUCUAAUAAAGUACCAUUGGUGGUACACGCCGUCCCAUGAAGCAAUCUUGUGCGGGCCACCGCUGGUACAAGCCGCCUCAUGAAGCAAUCUUGUGCGAGCCACCGGUGGUACGCGCCGCCCCAUGAAGCAGACUUGUGCGAGCCACCGGUGGUACGCGCCGGCGUGAACGUGUUAAAGUACAAUAGAUCAAUUUUUCACUUAUAUGAAAUUGCUAUUGGUAAAAGAGAGAUAGAAUUCACACCGAACAGGGGAAAAGAAUAUCAAAUGAAAUAUUUGAUUUCCCCAUUAAACAAUGUUGUAUAUGCUAUUCUGAUAAUGCGCAUGUAUUCGAGACUAAUAAAAUCCUUGUAAAUGUGUUGGAAUUUUUGUCAAAAGUGCUCAGCACUGUCUUGUAGGGUUGUAAACUUUAUCGAAAAUUACACACAUGUGUGGGGCUGAGAGUAAAAACGGAGCAUCGCAUCUCACCUCCUUUUCUUGCUCACGGAAAAUCUCAUAAGUGUGAGCAAGAGGUGAGAUGAGAUGUUGUUGUUGUUGUUUUAACAGUAAUAGAAGCCCCGUCAGUGAAGGGCAGUGCUGUCCAGAAUGAAAAAUGUGAGUGUAUAAGUGAGAACGAGAGAAUGGGAGCAGCACAGUAGGAAAUUUAAACCAAAAUAAAUACCUUUUGAUAUUACAUCUAUAGCCUCCUUUGAACGACUUGUAACAUAAAAGGCAUUGCAAGUCGCCAAAGGCAUUUUCUAGCAUAAAAAAGUUCUCACAGGUCAUUGUAUUGCAUACACUAAGCGUCGCGGACAAAUGUGGUGUUUAUUCGUUGCUGGUUUGCUAACGACUGAACGAUGGAGAGUAAGAAUACGUGUGAUCAAUUGAUGUAUGGGAUGGACAGCACUGGUGUAGGGUAUAUCACCGGUCGUCUUCGUCUGGCUCAUCUAAAGGUAGGCCCAGGAAACAAGCUGUUUCGACGGGUUGGGUCCAGAGGGAGAGGGGUGUUAGAUGAGUAGGUUUAAGAGGGCAUGUGAAGAGUGUGUCCACAGUGUCGGACGGAAUAUCUUCCGAUGCCGGACAUAUGUUUGGUAUGUCGGGGUCAAUUCUGGAUUAUUAUCCAGAACGUAGUUGUGCCAUUUUUACACGUGUCUCACGGGGAAGCUGGAGCUCUUCAUUUGCAAUAAGGGGUGGUUGGUCUACGAUUACGGCAUUCACAGGGCGGGAGCUUAAGAAGGUGGUGACGGUCUCCCGGUGAAUGACAUUUAUUGACUGUCUAAAUACUGUCUGGGCCAGUAGAUUUCUGUCAGUUUUGUCCUAGGAUGCGGCUCUGGCUCAAGCAGGUUUCUGCAAGGGUGAAACCUGCGUAGCAUCCCAGCAGUAACUGCUUGCUGAGCAGUUUAUUGUGCUUCAUUACAGGGAGCAUUUGUGACUCGUUGUGAAGAUGUUGAAUAGGGGACAUCAGGAGGCAACCGGCCGCUGUCCGAAUGGCAGUAUUUUGGCAUGUCUGUAGCUUUAUCCACUGCGUGUCACUAGUUCGAGGCGACCAGACAGGCGCAGCAUAGUUUAGAACCGGUCGACCAAUUGCCUCAAAUGUCAAUAGCAACAGUUCUUUGUGUUUGCCCCAAGUACUGCCGGCAAGCGACUUGAGGACCUUUUUUUUUGGAUCUUAAUUGCAAUUGCGGUCGUAUGCGCUGAGAAGGAGAGCAAACUGUCAAAGAUCAUACCCAAAAUUUUGGGAUUGUUUACCGCCGGAAUCGGUGUGUUGUCGACUUUUACCCUGAGGGAGAGUUUGACCUCCUUUGUCCAGGUGGUAAAGAGGGUCGCCGUGGAUUUAGAGGGGGAAAGUUGGAGAUUACUCGCAGUGAAAAAGCGAAAAAGGUCGGUGAGGUAGUUGUUCACUUUGGAGCACAGACCAUCGAUGUCAUUGCCCGACGCCAUUAUCAUGCAGUCGUCAGCGUAUGAGACCAGCGAGACUCCCUCUGGUGGUUGGGGAAGCUUCGAGAUGUAGAAGUUGAACAGCAAUGGUGAAAGGACACCACCCUGCGGUACACCUUGCUUAAUCUUCCUCUGCUUUGAGAUGAGUUGUUCCGUUUUUGCUCUCAGCCUUCCAUAUAGAACAGUAUAUGCAUGUGUGUUCGUAUGCUACACUGUGAUGUUGAGCAUACCUAUGUCAAACGAAAUGCGAAUUUCACAAUUGACAAAUGACGAAGCAGAUUAGUUUAGUUUCUCUUGUUUUGUGUAAUAAAUAUAUUUCAUUAUUAUUUAUAAAUUAAUUUAAGGGAUAUUAUCUGUGCGUGAAAAAUGAAUAAAAAAUGAAUAGAAGAAUAGGAAACAAUAAAUUUAAAACCUCGAAACAGCCAAGCAAACUGCGUUUAUUACAAACAAAUCAAACACCAUCAGGAUAAGGAGAAAUCGCAAGAUAGUAAUGAAUGUGUUUUUGAAUGUGAACUUGAAUUCUAGAAUCGGAAAAAGGAAUGCAAAAACAAUUUUCUUGUUUCAGCUGUUCCUCAGACCGAAACUAGUUAAAUUUUAUCCGAAUCACAUUCAUCCACUGUUUUUGCGGAUGGUGAAACAAUCGAUUCAACCACAUUGAAUGUAAAUGUAGUAUUAAAUGUUACUACUGAUACGGAAGUAGCAGGUAAAUGAUGAAUAAUUGUUUUUUCUUGAUAGUUCUUAGUGGGAUUAAAAGAAAAUUCAUAUUUUUAUAGAUGUUAGUGUUGAUGCUAAAGUUGUAUGAAAUGAUCCUACCGACAUCACUCCGUAUGGUAUUUUGAAGGAUAUUGAGCCUCAAGAGCUAGAUUUACGCAUUGGACACCAAUUUCCGAUGCCACACAAAAGAAAAUUCAAUCAAAAGUGGUUGAAUGAUUACGUUUGGUUGGAAUAUUCCGUAUUGAAAAAUGCUGUUUUCUGUAACGCGUGCCGCCAACUUUCUCCAAGUCCUGAAAGAGACAACGUAUUCAAAUGUACUGGUUUUUCACAUUGGAAAAGUGCUCUUGAAUCAAAUAAAGGCUUCAAAAAACAUCAGAGUUGUGGAAUGCAUUGGAACAGCAUGGCGAAAUGGGCUGAAGCAAUUGGUCGACAGAUAUAUUGCAAUGCCGUCGAAAUUAUGUGAUAAAAAUUAUUGAGGUUAUUAUUUUUUUGGUUAAAAAUGAGAUGGCUUUUCGUGGCACGUAUGACAUCGAAAAAUAUAUGGAUUUAUUAUGGAUUUAUUCGAAAAAUUAUUCUCAUAUACAAAAGCCAACAACGAAAACUUUUGCAAAUGGGAAUCGCAUAUGCCACGUCAUUACACAUAUCGAUCACCCGAUAUUCAAAAUGAGAUAAUUGGGCUUUUAGCAUUGAUGGUACGCGAGGCAGUGGCUAAUGAUGUGAUGAAAUCAGACGUACCAUAUUUCACAUUGUUAGAGGAUGGGACAAAAGAUAAACAGAACAAGGAAUGUGUUGCGAUUGCUGCAAGAUAUUUACGAAACGGCCAAGUUCAGGAAAGCAUAAUUACGAUGGAAACAUUUGCUGAUUAUUCAUGUAUGUUUUUAUUCAAUGCUAUAACGGUGCUAGUGUGAUGAGCGGCAUUGAUGGUGGUGUGCAAAGAUUGAUUCAAAACGAUUUGAAACGAAAGAUUCCGUAUUUUUACUGUCUGAACGAUCAAUUUCAUUUGGUCAUAAUCAAGGUCAUUGAAAGCGUUCAACUGGUGAAGCAAUUUUUGACCAGGCAAAACAUAUUGCAAAAUUUUUCCGUCGCCACAAAGUAAAACAACAUUACGAAGGUCAUUCCAUUUUGAAAUUAAUUGAAACUCGCUGGGUUGGCUAUUUACGUGCUUCAAAAUCCAUAUUUGAAAAGUAUGAACAUAUUAUAAAUACUUUGCCUCAGAUAACCGCUGCAGCAGGAUUCGAUGGUGGUAACGUAGCAUUAGCAGCCGGAUUGGAUACAAAGAUUCUAUGGCGCUCAUUAGAGCCGUUUAUAAAACGAUCGAAAAAUGAGAACAGAAGUUUUUUUCAAUAAAUAUUACUCUGAAGCGACAAAUCUUUUGAAGAAAUCACAUCCUACAGAAACGGCUCUCGUUUCAAGUCGCCCAAUUCGAAAUCGACGCCAUUCAAAAAUGCUAAAGGAUUUUGUUACUGAAGAAACACUGGGACAACGAAGUGAAUCCAGCAUCAUUGUGAAAUCGGCAUUUUAUGAAACUAUCUAUAUUAAGAAUAGCAUCGUUUUGUAAAAAAUGUUUCAUGCAUUCGAACCCAAGCGGUUUGAUUCUUUAGACCUGAAAACGGUUCUUUUACGAUUCAAUGAACAAAAAAAUUGCAAAGUGAGAUUAUUAAAAAAAAAUUAAUAAAUGUUAUUGUUGAAAAAAUACUGUAAACGCAGGAUAAACUAUUCAAAGAGGUUUUUAAUUACUUUUGUUUUCGACUGUUCUUUAAUUUUUCUUCCUUUUUAUCUACAUAGUAUACAUGUGAUCCCCCAAACAUGGAGGAUGAGGAGUCUCUUCCCCCUACAUCCGUUGAAGAGAACGCAGACCAAACCGUGGUUGGUUGCUCUUCAAUAACGAACAAAAGCGAUGGUGAGGAUUGUACAAAUCAAUCUUCACCACAGUAAGGCGGCCUCAGCCGCACUCAUCCUCCGUCUCGCAGAAAGAGAAGAGGAUAUCGUGCUCAUCCAAGAACCAUGGGUCGUAAAAGAUCGGGCUUGCGGUUUGAGCAGCAGAGAAUGCAAAUUGCUUUAUGUCACUAACAAAGCGAUGCGGAUAACGUCAUCACAGCGAUGGAGUCCUGCUUAAGGACUAUAUGGCUUGCCUCCUCUUAUAUGGCACACGACGCGGAGCAACCUCCUCCAUCACAACUCAUAAGAGACGCAGUUCAUGAAGCAUCGAGGUGUGGCAACCCAUGCAUACUGGGAGCAGAUGCUAAUGCACAUCAUCAUGUCUGAGGCAGAUCAGACACAAACGCACGUGGUGAGUACAUCUUUGAAUUCACUAUGUGUAACAAUCUUUAUAUUAGUAACAUAGGUGAUACCCCUACUUUUGUAACAACUACGGGAAGUUAAGUUCUAGACAUCACGUGUGUCAAUGAACGAGGGUGCCAUAUUUUAAAGGAAUGGAGAGUGUCUACAGACAACUCCUUCUCAGAUCCAAGUACUUAAUGUACACCAUUUCAUUGCCAACUAAACAGUUCAAGCCGGUUAUAAACCGCAGACGCACAA